GAUGAACGCUAGCGAUAGGCUUAACACAUGCAAGUCGCGGGGCAGCACAAGGUAGCUUGCUAUCUGGGUGGCGACCGGCGCACGGGUGCGUAACGCGUAUGCAACUUGCCCUAUACAGGAGGAUAACCCGUCGAAAGACGGACUAAUACUGCGUAUGCUCACAACUUGGCAUCAAGUGGUGAGGAAAGAAAUUCGGUAUAGGAUAGGCAUGCGUCCCAUUAGCUUGUUGGUGAGGUAACGGCUCACCAAGGCAACGAUGGGUAGGGGAACUGAGAGGUUUAUCCCCCACACUGGUACUGAGACACGGACCAGACUCCUACGGGAGGCAGCAGUGAGGAAUAUUGGUCAAUGGGCGCGAGCCUGAACCAGCCGAGUCGCGUGAAGGAUGACUGUCUUAUGGAUUGUAAACUUCUUUUAUACGGGAAUAACAAGAGUCACGUGUGACUCCCUGCAUGUACCGAAUGAAUAAGCAUCGGCUAACUCCGUG
rnacentral:rRNA from 1 species